AUUGAACGCUGGCGGCAUGCCUUACACAUGCAAGUCGAACGGCAGCGCGGGGGCAACCCUGGCGGCGAGUGGCGAACGGGUGAGUAAUAUAUCGGAACGUACCCAAGAGUGGGGGAUAACGUAGCGAAAGUUACGCUAAUACCGCAUACGAUCUAAGGAUGAAAGUGGGGGACCGCAAGGCCUCACGCUCCUGGAGCGGCCGAUAUCUGAUUAGCUAGUUGGUGGGGUAAAGGCCUACCAAGGCAUCGAUCAGUAGCUGGCCUGAGAGGACGACCAGCCACACUGGGACUGAGACACGGCCCAGACUCCUACGGGAGGCAGCAGUGGGGAAUUUUGGACAAUGGGGGGCAACCCUGAUCCAGCAAUGCCGCGUGAGUGAAGAAGGCCUCGGUUGUAAGACGU
rnacentral:rRNA from 1 species